rnacentral:rRNA from 1 species
UACCAGCACCCCGAGUGGUCGGGACGAUUAUUGGGCCUAAAGCAUCCGUAGCCGGUUUUACAAGUCCUCCGUUAAAUCCAGCUGCUUAACAGAUGGGCUGCGGAGGAUACUAUAAGACUAGGAGGCAGGAGAGGCAAGCGGUACUCAGUGGGUAGGGGUAAAAUCCGUUGAUCCAUUGAAGACCACCAGUGGCGAAGGCGGCUUGCCAGAAUGCGCUCGACGGUGAGGGAUAAAAGCUGGGGGAGCAAACCGG